rnacentral:rRNA from 1 species
GACGAACGCUGGCGGCAUGCCUAACACAUGCAAGUCGAACGGAGUUGUUAUUCAGAAGUUCUUCGGGAUGGAAGGAUAAGAACUUAGUGGCGGACGGGUGAGUAACGCGUGGGUAACCUGCCCUUUUGUGGGGAACAACUUCGAGAAAUCGGAGCUAAUACCGCAUAAUAAUAGAGGAUCGCAUGAUUCUUUAAGGAAAGAUGGCCUCUGAAGAUGCUAUCGCAAAAGGAUGGACCCGCGUCUGAUUAGCUAGUUGGAAGGGUAACGGCCUACCAAGGCAACGAUCAGUAGCCGGCCUGAGAGGGUGAACGGCCACAUUGGGACUGAGACACGGCCCAA